rnacentral:rRNA from 1 species
GAUGAACGCUGGCGGCGUGCCUAACACAUGCAAGUCGAGCGAGAUUAGUGCAAGUGGAGACCUCGGUCAAAGCGACCACUAUGAAAGCGGCGGACGGAGAGUAACGCGUGAGCAAUCUGCCCCAUACAAAGGGAUACCCACUGGAAACGGUGAUUAAUACCUUAUAAGACCACAGAGUCGCAUGGCUCGGGGGUCAAAGAUUUAUCGGUAUGGGAUGAGCUCGAGUCUGAUUAGCUAGUUGGUGAGGUAAUGGCUCACCAAGGCGACGAUCAGUAGCCGACCUGAGAGGGUGAACGGCCACACUGGAACUGAGACACGGUCCAGACUCCUACGGGAGGCAGCAGUGGGGAAUAUUGCACAAUGGGCGCAAGCCUGAUGCAGCAACGCCGCGUGAAUGAUGAAGGCCUUCGGGUCGUAAAGUUCUGUCCAAAGGGAAGAAUACAGUGACGGUACCUUUGGAGGAAGCCCCGGCUAACUACGUGCCAGCAGCCGCCGUAA